AGUGAACGCUGGCGGUAGGCCUAACACAUGCCAGUCGAACGGCAGCACAGUAAGAGCUUGCUCUUACGGGUGGCGAGUGGCGGACGGGUGAGGAAUACAUCGGAAUCUACUUUUUCGUGGGGGAUAACGUAGGGAAACUUACGCUAAUACCGCAUACGACAUACGGGUGAAAGCAGGGGAUCUUCGGACCUUGCGCGAUUGAAUGAGCCGAUGUCGGAUUAGCUAGUUGGCGGGGUAAAGGCCCACCAAGGCGACGAUCCGUAGCUGGUCUGAGAGGAUGAUCAGCCACACUGGAACUGAGACACGGUCCAGACUCCUACGGGAGGCAGCAGUGGGGAAUAUUGGACAAUGGGCGCAAGCCUGAUCCAGCCAUACCGCGUGGGUGAAGAAGGCCUUCGGGUUGUAAAGCCCUUUUGUUGGGAAAGAAAAGCAGCAGGUUAAUACCCCGCUGUUCUGACGGUACCCAAAGAAUAAGCACCGGCUAACUUCGUG
rnacentral:rRNA from 1 species